rnacentral:rRNA from 1 species
GGAGGGGAGGGUCCCCAAAAGAACCCACGGCGCCGGAUGGCGUCAAGGAAUACUGAUGUUGCUUGCUUGGGGCUACGCCUAGCCUGCUAGGUGAGCCUUGUGCUGCGAUGUACCUGAAUCCUUAAGACUCUCGGCAACGGAUAUCUUGGCUCUUGCAUCGAUGAAGAACGUAGCAAAAUGCGAUACCUGGUGUGAAUUGCAGAAUCCCGUGAACCAUCGAGUUUUUGAACGCAAGUUGCGCCUGAGGCCUCUUGGUCGAGGGCACGUCUGCCUGGGCGUCACGUCAAAAGACACUCCCUAUCCAUCCUGGUGUGGGGAUGUGGUGUCUGGCCUUCCAUUUCAGUUUAAAGGUAUGGUAGGCUAAAGUAAGAGGCUGCUGGUUAUGUUACCAGUCGCAGCACUUGGUGGAUGACACAUGUUAUUCUCGGAGUUGCGAUGGUACUGCUUCUGGUGAAUUUGCCCCCUAGACCCAUGUAUUGAGCUUCGUGCUUGCAGCGCGACCCCAGGUCAG